UACGUAGGGAGCAAGCGUUGUCCGGAAUCAUUGGGCGUAAAGCGCGCGUAGGUGGCCUCAUAAGUCCGCUGUGAAAGUCAAAGGCUCAACCUUUGAAAGCCGGUGGAUACUGUGAGGCUAGAGUACGGAAGAGGCGAGUGGAAUUCCUGGUGUAGCGGUGGAAUGCGCAGAUAUCAGGAGGAACACCGGUGGCGAAGGCGGGUCUCCGGCGGCGUACUGACGCUGAGGCACGAAAGCGUGGGGAUCAAACAGG
rnacentral:rRNA from 1 species